GACAGAGGGUGCAAACGUUGCUCGGAAUUACUGGGCGUAAAGCGCGUGUAGGUGGAUUGGUGUGUCAGAUGUGAAAAGCCCUGGGCUCAACCCAGGAACCUGCACCUGAAACGUACCAGUCUUGAGUGGUGGAGAGGGAAGUGGAAGUUCCUGGUGUAGAGGUGAAAUUCGUAGAUAUCAGGAGGAACAGCCAGUGGCGAAGGCGGCUUCCUGGACACUAACUGACGCUGAGACGCGAAAGCGUGGGGAGCAAACAGG
rnacentral:rRNA from 1 species